rnacentral:lncRNA from 1 species
AUAUAAAAAGUGUAAAUUUUUUGUGUUGUGCAUUAACAAAUAAAGAAGCCAACUAUUUCCAUCUGAUCAUGUGGCCUGAAACUGCUGUUUCCCAAAAUGUCGUCUAUUGCUGUGCUUUCAUCACAUCACAUGUAGAAAUACUUCACAACAGUAAAAGUGAUCAUGUUGGUGUAACCCUAAGCAUGGUGAAGUCUGAGUUUCUUCAUUGCAGUCCAAUGUGCUGUGCAGUGUGAUUUGUUGCAGCCAGCUGGUGAAAGGUGUUCCUCUUGCAGACUUGCUACCUGUACCGCUUGUAGCUUUCGUCACAUACAGAAACACUUAUAAACAAUCUAAAGUAAUUAAGUUGAUCAACUUUUUUACAGAUUAGCAGCUUCUUAAAAGGUCUGGGCCUCUUUGUUGCAGUCCGAUGUGUACAUGAAUUCUGUGCAACCAGCUAGUGAACAAAGUGGUGAGCUGUUCCAUGCAGACUGCAGUGUUCUGGUGUCGUUCGUUCAUUGAACUAUAGACCGUUCAGUCGUUCCUUUAUCGUAAGAAAUCUGACACGGUGUGUAAAAUUGUUUCCACUAGGUGGCAAAGAAGGUCAGCAUUUCGUUCUUGAUGUCGAAGACUAGUGACAUCUUAUUUUGUGCUUCUAAAUAAGUGCUUAAAAAUUGUGUAAGAUUUCCAUGGUCAGUUUGUUGUUUGAGCUGUUUAUGGUGUUGCUGUUUGGGGUGCAGUGGUUUUGCUGUCAUUUUCCAGUUGAAAAAUGCACUGAAAUAGAGCUUGUGCAGACUUGCAGUUCAACAUCACACUUAAAUGUGUCAUUUUUCUAUGUUGGUGUCCGUGCAGUGUUGAUUAGUUGGGUAAAAUAGUCAAAUGUUGCCUGAUGGCUGUCGGGCUUAUUUUGUCGAUAUGUCGUCUCUUGCUACCUGUACCGCGGCGUUGAGUUUAAUCGUUUGCUGCCGUUCCAUAGACUUGACCCAUUGGUAAAACUGAGGAGAGGUUGCUGGAAUUCAAGACUCGUCAACAAAUUAUGUAGAUGUAGACAAAUUACAAGUGCAUAUCUGGGCUCCCUUCUUUUCUGUGGCCCCGUUUCCCUAUCUAACCACUAACCAACGCCCGCCGGUGGUCACUCACCCGCUGUGAAACCAG